UGGGUUGUGACUCAGUGGUAGAGUGCUUGCCUAGCACAUGUGAGGGACUGAGUUCAAGCCUCAGCACCACAU
rnacentral:tRNA from 1 species